rnacentral:lncRNA from 1 species
GGGAUGUUGUGGGCACCUGCUCUGUGCCUCAGUCUAUCUCAUGACCACCGGCAGUGCGAUUCUCCAUUGGGAUGUUGUGGGUGCCUUCUCUGUGCCCCAGUCUGUCUUGUGACCACUGGUGGUGUGAUCCUCCAUGUGAUCCUCCAUUGGGAUGUUGUGGGUGCCUGCUCUGUGCCCCAGUCUGUCUCGUGACCACCGGCGGUGUGAUCCUCCAUUGGGAUGUUGUGGGCACCUGCUCUGUGCCCCAGUCUGUCUCGUGACCACUGGUGGUGUGAUCCUCCGUGUGAUCCUCCAUUGGGAUGUUGUGGGCGCCUGCUCUGUGCCCCAGUCUGUCUCGUGACCACUGGUGGUGUGAUCCUCCGUUGGGAUGUUGUGGGCACCUGCUCUGUGCCCCACACUUGCCACGCGCUUCUCAUGGACUUUCCCUGGAUGCCAGGGUAGGUGAUAAGCAUGGGGUCUGAGCACCCCAAAACCACAUCCAGACUUGAUUUGAGUUGAGGAAGGCUGAAAGCAGGGACAGCUAUGAAUAUUGAGCCUGGGGGCAGGGUACCCGCCUCCAGAAGGUCCUUGGCUGUGAAUCAAGGACUUGACCUCAGUUUUGGAGAAGCUGAGGUUGUAGGCAGGAAAACAAGUGAGAGGCUCAAGGUCUGACAUGAUCUGGAACCCAGAGGUCUGUUAAUAUAAUAGGACAUUAGGCUAGAACUUGGUAAGAAGCUCAGUGGAGACCCUGGCCCGUGGGCUGAGGCUUUACCAGGGCCUGGAGCAGCCGUUCUUCACCUUUGCUGCACAUGAAAACACUGGACAUCUUUCAGCAGUCCUGGUGCCCAAGCUCUCCUAAGACCAAAUCACUAGGGGUGAGGUCAAGGUCUCAGUAUCUUUUAGAGUUCACUGGGUGAUUCCAUCAUGCAGCCAAGAUUGAGAAUCCCUUGCCUACUGAAGGGGAAGCUGGAGCAGGUGCUGGCGGUGUGGCCGGGGUGUGGAGAUAUAGGUGCCAGUGGUGUGGCUGGGGUGUGGAGGUGCAGGUACUGGUGGCAUGGCCGGGGUGUGGAGGUGCAGGUGCUGGUGGCAUGGCCGGGGUGUGGAGGUGCAGGUGUCGGCGGCAUGGCCAGGGUGUGGAGACGCAGGUGCCGGCGGCGUGGCCAGGGUGUGGAGACAUAGGUGCCGGCGGUGUGGCUGGGGUGUGGAGGUGCAGGUGCUGGUGGUGUGGCCGGGGUGUGGAGGUGCAGGUGCCGAUGGCAUGGCUGGGGUGUGGAGACAUAGGUGCUGGAGGUGUGGCUGGGGUGUGGAGGUGCAGGUGCUGGUGGCGUGGCCGGGGUGUGGAGGUGCAGGUGCUGGUGGCGUGGCCGGGGUGUGGAGGUGCAGGUGUUGGCAGCAUGGCCAGGGUGUGGAGACGCAGGUGCCGGCGGCGUGGCCGGGGUGUGGAGACAUAGGUGCCAGCGGUGUGGCUGGGGUGUGGAGGUGCAGGUGCUGGUGGUGUGGCCGGGGUGUGGAGGUGCAGGUGCCGAUGGCAUGGCUGGGGUGUGGAGACAUAGGUGCUGGUGGUGUGGCUGGGGUGUGGAGGUGCAGGUGCCGAUGGCAUGGCUGGGGUGUGGAGGUGCAGGUGCUGGUGGCGUGGCCGGGGUGUGGAGGUGCAGGUGCUGGAGGCGUGGCUGGGGUGUGGAGUGUGGUGCUGAGCUGGGGUGGGAAGAGAGGCAUGGACCAGUCACCUGGGGAUCUGAGACUGCCCCACUGCCUGCUUGCAGAAGAAACACCUCUGUUUUCCCAUGCUUGCAGGAAAAACGUGAGCCCCUUCCCAAACGACCUUGCCUUUCUGUGAUUUCUGCUCUGGCUUCUCUGCAAAACCUCCCACUCUACUUACCUCCUCGUGCUCACUGAUGCCGCCCCUGCGUGAGACUCUUAUUGUUCCCAUUUAUGUUGUGCUGUCUCAGGCUCCCGCACUGCAUCUGUCUCUCACCUGACUCCAUCGUCAGACUGCAGAGGGAAGGAGAGGGCGUUCCUGGCUGGGUUUCAUGGCCUCACCUUCGGUACUGAAGAAAAGGCCAAGUUCUGGGAUUAUGCACGCCACUGCUUGACUACUGUCUCCUUGCUUUCUUUGACAGACAUUUAUCCAGCACCUGCUGUGUACCAGGCUCUGUUCUAGGUGCUGAGUAUAUAAGAAUGGAGAAGUUCACCUAAAAUGUUACCAUCUUCUCUACAAUAUCUUACCUCAACAACACACUCUUGUGCCUGGAUUGUUGCAAUCGCUUCUGAAUCAGUUUUUCUGUCUCCACUCUUAUUGUCAUUCAAGCCUUUCUGCACGUGACAGCACAACAGUCCCUCCAAAGUGUCACUCAGCAGCUUAACCCCCCCACACACUGCCCUUGGGAGCAGCCCCCCAGUGUCUCACGGGGCUGAGAUGAUGCCCUCCUUGACUUGAACCUUCAUGCUUCUCAGAGAAACGCCUUUCAACUUGCUGCUGUCAGACCCACGUAGACUCUGCUGAAGCACAGCCAGUUCCGCUCAAUUCUCGAAUGAGCCGCCUUCCCUCUCACCUCCAAGUGGCGGCUCACGCUGUUGACUGCCUGCACGAUGUUCUCCCUGGCUCUGCAGUUAAUGGCCUGUGUAUCACUCCUGCACCAUGGAGAAGGCGAUCAGAAACAUCCUUCCUCCUCAUGUCUCCAGCGCCUAGGGUAGUGCUUCCUCCCUGGUAGAAUUAGAAGUUUUAAUUGAAUUAAUA